ACAGCAAGCCGUCUUAUCGCCGCGAAGCAAUUCGGGGAGGAAAGUCCGGGCAACGCAGAGCAUCCUGCUUCCUAACGGGAAGGGUCUGUUUUGGAGACGAACCAGAUACAGCCAGUGCCACAGAAAAUUACCGCCAGCAGCAAUGCUGGUAAGGGUGAAAAGGUGCGGUAAGAGCGCACCAGCGGUUGGGUGACCAGUCCGGCUGGGUAAACCUCAGGAGUUGAAAGACCAAAUAGGCCGGCAGCGUCUUGCUUCGGCGAGACUAAGGGCUGCUCGUCCGAUGUCGGUGGGUAGGUCGAUGGAGCCUGUGCGCGAGUGCAGGCCUAGAUAAAUGAUAAGACGCACGCUUUCGGGCGGAGCGACAGAACCCGGCUUACAGGCUUGCUGCUACU
rnacentral:RNase_P_RNA from 1 species